rnacentral:rRNA from 1 species
UACGUAGGGGGCAAGCGUUGUCCGGAAUCAUUGGGCGUAAAGCGCGUGUAGGCGGCCAGAAAAGUCCGCUGUGAAAACCCGGGGCUCAACCCCGGGCCUGCAGUCGAUACGGGCAGACUAGAGUGCGGUAGGGGAGACUGGAAUUCCUGGUGUAGCGGUGAAAUGCGCAGAUAUCAGGAGGAACACCGGUGGCGAAGGCGGGUCUCUGGGCCGUAACUGACGCUGAGGAGCGAAAGCGUGGGGAGCGAACAGG